rnacentral:rRNA from 1 species
UACGAAGGGGGCUAGCGUUAAUCGGAAUUACUGGGCGUAAAGCGUGCGCAGGCGGUUCGUUGUGUCGGCGGUGAAAGCCCCGGGCUCAACCUGGGAAUGGCCGUUGAAACUGGCGAACUGGAGUGUGGCAGAGGGGGGUGGAAUUCCGCGUGUAGCAGUGAAAUGCGUAGAGAUGCGGAGGAACACCGAUGGCGAAGGCAGCCCCCUGGGCUAACACUGACGCUCAGGCACGAAAGCGUGGGGAGCAAACAGG